UAAGCGGAGGAAAAGAAACUAACAAGGAUUCCCCUAGUAGCGGCGAGCGAAGCGGGAAGAGCUCAAAUUUAUAAUCUGGCACCUUCGGUGUCCGAGUUGUAAUCUCUAGAAAUGUUUUCCGCGCUGGACCGCACACAAGUCUGUUGGAAUACAGCGGCAUAGUGGUGAGACCCCCGUAUAUGGUGCGGACGCCCAGCGCUUUGUGAUACAUUUUCGAAGAGUCGAGUUGUUUGGGAAUGCAGCUCAAAUUGGGUGGUAAAUUCCAUCUAAAGCUAAAUAUUGGCGAGAGACCGAUAGCGAACAAGUACCGUGAGGGAAAGAUGAAAAGCACUUUGGAAAGAGAGUUAACAGUACGUGAAAUUGUUGGAAGGGAAACGCUUGAAGUCAGACUUGCUUGCCGAGCAAUCGGUUUGCAGGCCAGCAUCAGUUUUCCGGGAUGGAUAAUGGUAGAGAGAAGGUAGCAGUUUCGGCUGUGUUAUAGCUCUCUGCUGGAUACAUCUUGGGGGACUGAGGAACGCAGUGUGCCUUUGGCGGGGGUUUCGACCUCUUCACACUUAGGAUGCUGGUGGAAUGGCUUUAAACGACCCGUCUUGG
rnacentral:rRNA from 1 species